UCCCUGUGCGCCUCUAGCCAGAAGCCUGCGCCUCGGAGAGUCCCGGGCAGCGCCCGGCGCGCCGGGCCAUGCAGCGACGGCCGCGGCGGAGCUCGCAGCGGCGGUAGCGCCCCCUGUGAGGCGGCCCGCGAUGCCCCGGCCGCUGUGAACUGUGCAGCCCGCCCGAACGCGCGCCGCCCGGGCCGGCUCAGCCUUGGGCACUCUGGACUGCGAGCGGCCGCGACGAGCAGCCAGGAGUCGAUAGAGCUGCAGGCGCGGGGAAGGCCUGCCCGCACAGGUGGGGGAAGCCGGCCGGUGCAGCAGCGCGGGGACAGACACUCGGGCUGGCGCUGGCGGCGAGGG
rfam:Microcebus murinus cont1.308568, whole genome shotgun sequence.